AGACUGUGAAAUCACUCGAGGAAGACAUUAUUCCAAGAUUUUCCGACGUCGUCGAUUCAACUGUGGAAACUUUGAACCGAAAUCCUCGCGAGAAAAUUGACGGGGAAGCUGUUGUUCAGGCAUCGCAACUUGUAUAUUUGCUGAUUUGUUACGUCAGUGGAGCGGAG